UCAAAAAAAAUGGGAGACUCUGUCUCAAAAAAAAAAUUACUAUUGCCCAGGCCCUGCUCCAAAUCAGUUAAAUCAGAAGCUCCAUGGACCUGCUCCAAAUCAAUUAAAUCAGAAGAUAUUCCCAGUUGAUUCUACUGUAUUUACAAGAUUGAGAAUUAUUGACGUAGUAGAACUGGAGUCACCCUGAACCACUUGGGAAAACCACUUGGGAACCACCCUGAACCACUUGCAAAAAUACACUUAUUCUUUGAUCUGCAAUAAUAAUGAUAAUUGCUACUAUUUCAUAAACUUAAAUAUGCAAUAAAUAAUACGUUUUUUUACUUUCUCUAAUUGUUUAAAUUCUGUUUUGUGCCUAUAAUCCCACCAAACUGACAAAAAAACUUAAGAGCAAUCCUUUAAGCCUUCUCUCCUUCCCCAGUUAUUCUAGGUUCUGCUCUCUUUCACAUGGCCAAGUUGUCAGGUAUUGUUAUAGCGUCUUGUUCAGCUAAUUAAGAAGUAUAACUGAGACAGUUGCCACCCCAUUUGUCAUGUGUGGUGCCUUUCAAGAUAGCCCCCAAUGAUUCUCACCUCCUGAUAUUCACGCCUUUGUGUUGUCUCCUCCCACGUCAUGCCAAGGUUGGUUUUUAUGACAAAAUUCAGGGAAGUGAUGAUGUGUUGCGUAUGACACUAGAUUCGAAAAGACAUGGUGAUGUCUGACUUGUUCUCUUGGAUGUCUCUCUCUCGGUGAAGCCAGCUACCUUGCAUGAGGGUACUCAAGCAUUCCUAUGGAGAGAUCCACAUGGUAAGAAGAAACACUAGAAGCACCUGAAGGACUAGGAAGUGGGUGCUCUAGGGAUGAUUAGUUGAGAAAUGGUCAUGGAAUCCAAGAGGCCAUGUGUCGUGAAGUCAGAGAAAUCAUUCCUAUGUUGUGGAGGCUGAACUGCUUCUGUAAGUACCUAGGUGGUCUGGCCGGAUUUCCGGGUAGAAUUAUAAUGAUCUUUUAUGUCAUGAUAUGCCUUGCCCAAGUUGUGCAAUGCAACUGUGAGAACCAAGCAAACCUUUUGUUCAACUAAUUCAGUUCUGUUUCUUCUAUGUCCAAAUUAGGUUAUUUCCAUACAAACAUGGUUUAAUAGAAUUUUUACCACCAGACAAGAAGGGUUGUAAAAAUUUUUGUGGACGUAGUGAUUAAAGAAAAACAAACUAGUUUGAAAAUAUGUUGUGAGCCAGCUAGGGCUCAGAGGACUUUAUGGUCUUGAUAAAAUUCAGGUUCAGCCAAGAACAGGUGACAUCAGAUGCAAUUGUUCUUUACAGGUGGCUCUCUCUAUCUCCUUUCUACCCACCUGGGCUACCCACAAACUUCUUCCUCAUCCUAAGACUCUGCCGCAAGUCUGGUAGGUGUGUCACAUACUGCUGAUACAAUGCUGGAAGAGGCGCUUUUACUUCCUACUAAGGCCAAAGGCCAAGUUGGUCAUUUGAUUAGGAGUGAAUGAGGUUGUUCUUCAUCUGGGGCAGAAGAUGGGAGCGAAAGAGGAGUAUAAGAAUGGUCCUGACAGGAGGGCAUAUUAAGUGUUAGCUUGAACUGUAUCAAGUUUCUGUAGUUUUUACACAAUGACUGAUAGUCAUCUGUUUCCUCUGAAGUAGAUGAUUUAUUUUUAUGCUUUGUGUUCUGCCUUCUAAAUCUAUUUUGAGAAAAAUGUGA